rnacentral:rRNA from 1 species
UACGAAGGGGGCUAGCGUUGCUCGGAAUCACUGGGCGUAAAGGGUGCGUAGGCGGGUCUUUUAAGUCAGGGGUGAAAUCCUGGAGCUCAACUCCAGAACUGCCUUUGAUACUGAGGAUCUUGAGUUCGGGAGAGGUGAGUGGAACUGCGAGUGUAGAGGUGAAAUUCGUAGAUAUUCGCAAGAACACCAGUGGCGGAAGGCGGCUCACUGGCCCGAUACUGACGCUGAGGCACGGAAAGCGUGGGGA